rnacentral:misc_RNA from 1 species
UUUGGUUGCAAUGUUAAACUAAUGAGAUGUGUUUAUGUCAUGCAUAUAUAAGUAUUUUCAUAUUUUAAUAAGAUUGUCAAAGUUCAGAAAAUGACUUCCUUUCUUGAAAAGUGGAAGUCAUUUUCCUUAAAAUUUGCUUAAUUUUCUUUUGAACAGGAAAAUAUUUUCCACUGACCCAUUUCCUUAGUGCUCCAAAUGCUAGAAAAAGCAAAAAAUAUUUUCCAGGAAAAUAUAUUCCGCAAAACAAACGAAGCCUUGAAGAAAACAACUUACCUAUUUUUCAAAACAAGAAGGCUUUUUUCAAAUUUCACAAACUUAUAAAAGAGAAAAUACCCAAGGGAAUUGCAGUCACAUAACCAGGAGUGUACCAAAUUAUCUCUAGCAAUCACCAGCAGCUAGUAGCAAUGAUAAUUUACUGUUUUCAUAUGAUUCUCUCUCAUUCAAUAUGAAGUUCUAAUAGUUGUAAACAAUUUAGUAUUUUAUUUGUUGAAAUGUAUUUAAUAUUUUUCAAUGUCUUCCAAAUGCCAUAAAAUAAUUUCCAGUUGGUUUUCAAGAUUUUCACCAAACAACAUUAAAUAAGUCAU